AGAAGACAAUCGUAAAGUCCUUUCAAUGAUGGUUUUCAACUAUGGGAGAAGGAGCUCUCUGUGCUCCGUUCUGCAUUUCUUCAUUUUUGAGCUGUUUUAUUCUUAGCUGAAGCUGUAUAACUUUUUAUUUCUUAUUUGAACCAUUUUGGUAUGGUGAACAAUUGAUGAUUCUAUUUAGCAAAAAAAAAAAAAAACAAUUGAUGAUUCUAAUAAUAACCAGAGUUGAAAAACAAUUUGAACAAAUCUGUUACAGAUUUUGUUAUGUAUAUUUUCGAAAUAUUGUUACCAAAAAUAUUUCUUUUUUAAUAUUUUAAAUGUUUGGGCGUAUAUUGAAUAUAAAUGGAUGAUUUUUAGGAAAAUAUUUAAAAGCAUUAAAAAGAAGAAAAUAUACAUAAGGUUAGGUACAAAAUAUAAACAAUAACCACAAAAUAGGAUAAUAAACAAUAUGCUAAAGAAGGUAAAUAAAAGCAAUACCAUACUAAUUAUCGAAAUAUAUAAUUAGUUUAAUUUGUAAAUGAAAUGGUUCUAUUAUGAUUUUCUUACAGUAAAUUUUUUACAGUAAUUGUUUUUCAAAAAUCUGUAUGGUAACUUUUAUUGUAUCCUUCCAACCAUAACUUAGGAAAUAGUUUUAAAAUCUGAAGUAAAAUCUUUUAUAUAUAUCAAUAAACAUGUGAAAAUAUUCCAUAUCAGAACAUUUUAGAAACCAAAUCUAAAUAUUAACCUCAAAAUGAUAAUAAUUAAAUUUAUAGUUAAUUUUUGCUAAUGAAACAGUUAUUUUUGGUUUAUUUUUUCUAAGUUUAGUUAUACAAAUGGUUACUUUGGUGAAUGGAAGUUUUUUUGACUAAAGAUAUGUUUUAUUAUUUUAUAGCAGGAUAAAAUCCAUGCAGCAGUCAAAAAGUUUCUUUAUGUUAUUGUUACCAAUUAAAAUACGAUUACAAAUAAAUUUCAAAAUAAAAGAAACAAAAAACAAUCUAAUCAAAAAAUUUAUAUAAUAAAAUAACUUAAUACAUAAUUAUAUUUGUUGAUUUCAUGAUGAAAAACAUAAUCCGCGUUUCAACGCGGGUCAUAUUCUAGGAUUAUAUUAUACUAAAGUCUUCUAUAAUUGUAUAAUCUCAGUUCAUCCUUCUAUUAAACCCACCACCAUAAUCACUCUUUAUCUUAAAAUUAAGGAAAUAACACACUAUAAUACAAGCUUGGGCCUAUUAAAAACUCAUUGUCAAAGAUACAUCCAUGAAAAUGCAAAAUACAGUUUCUGUUGCCUGCUUCUUUACACAAUACUAUUUCUUCGCCACAUUUCACUUAUUCAGAACUUUAUUUGGGAUAAAGUUGGAUUAUUCAACUUAACGUGAAGCUUUUACCAAACCAAAAUAUACUUUAAUCUCAUUGUCAGACUUUGUGUUCUCCAUGGACACAAAGUUUAGUUGUGCAUCUCAUUUGACAUGGGUGCAAGAGCUUCGGUCAUGGUCCCUUUAUCUAGUCCUGAAACGAAAGGAGGACAAUGGGGACAGUUUGGUGGUUGGUAUAUAGGUGGAUGGUAGUAUGGCACGCUUGGGGUGCACCCACCGGUUUGGCAUCCUCCACCAGUACCAAAGCCAGGAACCGUCACUCCCGGAAUGGUAAAACCGGGAAUGUGGGUGCCUGGCACAGUUAUGGGAGGGAUUGUUGUGCCUGGUACAGUUAUGGGAGGGACAACUACACUGGGUACACCAGUAGAGCCACUUCCUCCUCUACCGAUACCAAUCCCUUCCCCUGAACCACUACCUCGUCCAAUGCCUUCACCGAAUCCGGUACCUGGGGCUCCCCUGACAGGACCGCAAUUGGGUUGGCCAUACCCUGAUCCUCUUCCUUCUCCAAUGCCAACACCUGAACCAUCACCAUAGCCUAUUCCUUCUCCAAAACCACUGCCUCCACUUGAGCCUAUUCCUUCUCCGAAGCCACUGCCACCACUAGAGCCAAUCCCUUCUCCGAAGCCACUGCCUCCACUAGAGCCUAUCCCUUCUCCAAAGCCACUGCCACCACUAGAGCCUAUUCCUUCUCCGAAGCCGCUGCCUCCACUGCCAUAACCAACGCCAUAGCCAUAUCCCAUAGGCUUAACUGUGUGAUCAGGCUUCUCUAUGCCAUCAAUCUUCUCUUUGUCUUUAAGCUUCUCUUUGUAAUCAGGCUUUACUUCAUGAUCAGGCUUCUCUAUGUCAUCAAUCUUCUCUUUGCCACCAUCAUUAAGCCUCUCUUUGUAAUUAGGCUUUACUAUAUGAUCAGGCUUCUCUAUGCCAUCAAUCUUCUCUUUGCCACCAUCAUUAAACCUCUCUUUGUAAUUGGGCUUUACUAUAUGAUCAGGCUUCUCUAUGUCAUCAAUGUUCUCUUUGUCACCAUCAUUAAGCUUCUCUUUGUAAUCAGGCUUUACUUUAUGAUCAGGCUUCUCUAUGCCAUCAAUCUUCUCUUUGCCACCAUCAUUAAACCUCUCUUUGUAAUUGGGCUUUACUAUAUGAUCAGGCUUCUCUAUGUCAUCAAUNN
rnacentral:lncRNA from 1 species